UACGAAGGGGGCUAGCGUUGUUCGGAAUUACUGGGCGUAAAGAGCUCGUAGGUGGUUUGUCGCGUUGUCCGUGAAAACUCACAACUCAAUUGUGGGCGUGCGGGCGAUACGGGCAGACUGGAGUACUGCGGGGGAGACUGGAAUUCCUGGUGUAGCGGUGGAAUGCGCAGAUAUCAGGAGGAACACCGGUGGCGAAGGCGGGUCUCUGGGCAGUAACUGACGCUGAGGAGCGAAAGCGUGGGGAGCGAACAGG
rnacentral:rRNA from 1 species